UUCUCUUGCUAUGUUUGUUAGUGUGUGCAUCAAAAUGGCAGAGGCCAUGGCCUCAAUCAGUGACCUUUAUCCCAAGGCUUGUUCUAAACAGAUACACUAUGCUUUCUGAGGUGGUGGAGAAACUGAAGAAGACAGGAGUUCAAGCUGCUCCCCCUUCUCUGUUCUUUGCUGGACCUGGAGAAUUGGAGAGUGAUUUCUGAGCUGGGAGAAAACUAAAAGCUGUGAUGUCCUGACUGGUCUCUUAUUGUGAGACUCACCUCCAGCCUUACAAUGAAGUCGCUCCAUUAAAGAAGCACAAGCUAGUCAAAGCCUCCACACAACUACUAGUUUUUAAUGGAUGAACAUCAAAGCCAUUAGACUCAGCUACAGCAGAAAGGACUGAGAAACAGCGCUCAGCACAGGCAGCAGAGGACAGUGAGUGGAUCUUUUCUGAUCAGCUCCAUUGAGAGAAGGCAAAGUAGCCCAGGAGGAAAGCUGAAGUGAGUCGGGCUGAAAGACUCCUGGAGCAACUGGAGCAGGAGAUGGCUGAGCUGAGGAGGAGAGCUGCUGAGCUGAAGCAGCUCUCACACACAGAGGAUCACAUCCAUUUUUUCUCCAGUCUCACUGUGUCUCUCCUGGAUCUAAAGCCUUACCCAGCAUUAUUGUCUAUCCAGACGUCUCUUUUGAGCAUCUGAGGAAAUCAGUGUCUGAACUGUAAGAUCGACUGCAGGACAUAUGCUAGGAGGAAAUUGACAAGAUAUCUGGGAAAGUGACUACAUUUCAGAUUGACCACCUUGCUGAGCCCAAGACCAGAGAGGAGUUAAAACAAAAUGUGAGUCAACAGGCAAACACAAACAUAUCUGUUUGGAGUAUUUGGAAUAAAUAUAACAAACAACAUUA